GGUCGUUAGAUGUCGUGGUCAGCUAUGGAGCAUGCGUACUGGGAGCGAUAUCCGGAAUGAAAUGAUCCUCCAUGAAGAUCCUCCAUGAGAGCCACAAGUGAACAUUCAACAACUUGAAAACUGGAUUGAAAAUGAGAGACAGAGCAGCCACUGCAGAAGCUUCCAAAAUCACUCUGCAGCUCCUUGUACUGCUGCAAUCCACGUGGUGAAGUAGCUCCCAUGUUGCAAUUUGGUUGAUGACAUCCUUCGAAGAACAGGAGAUCUGAAGUGGACACAUUAUUCCAGAAGAGGCCCCACUGAUGUUCUGCACAAUUUCAACAUAACGUCCCACCUCCGAUACUCAAAAGGACAUGGACUUUGCUGGCUUGGCCAGAAUUUAUUGCCCAUCUGUGAUUGCCCAGAGGGCUAUCAAGUGUCAACUGCAUUGCUGUAUGGCUGGAGUCACGCACAGGCCCAACCAGGGAAUUGGAAAGGGGGCAUUUAUUGACAGGGAGCUCAACACAUACACUGGAUCAAGAACUGCCAGGAAUACUUAAUUCUCAGGAGCUUUGAACAUGGAAGGAACAAGCAUCGUUUACAGUGAAGAGAAACCAUACAUGUGGUCUGUGUGGACAAGCCUUCAGUCAGUUGUCUGGCCUGUCGAUACGUAAAUGCAGUCAAAACAGGGUGACAACAAUGACAUCAAGCAGCACUUGCUUUAUAUCACAGUGAUGGAUCUCAGUUUGAGUUAAGCAAGGUCCACUCAUCUCCUAUCCUCCCUACAUUCUUGGUGAAAACAUGGACCAACCAGCUGAAUUCUGAAUGUGAGAGUGACUAUCCACGAUCUUAAGGCUCCAUUUGACAGAACAUUGUAUUAAGGCAUCAUGACAAAGCUAAAUUCAAUAGAAGCCAGAGAAUAUUAUUCUUCCUUGGAUAGCUGGGUUUUGAAAACAUUGUGUCUUGAGACCUCAGUAGAUUGAAACAAGGUGAAUUUAUUCCAACUUGCACCACAUACACGCGGAAGAGGUCUUUCAGCCAAGCUCGGAGACACUGUCCUAUUUACAGCUACUCAGAAACAGCAUAUUAAGGCAUUUUCAUGCCAGAAUGGCUGCAUGUAACAUUGAUUUAAAAUAAAU